rnacentral:rRNA from 1 species
AUUGAACGCUGGCGGCAGGCCUAACACAUGCAAGUCGAACGGUAACAGGAAGCAGCUUGCUGCUUUGCUGACGAGUGGCGGACGGGUGAGUAAUGUCUGUGAAACUGCCCGAUGGAGGGGGAUAACUACUGGAAACGGUAGCUAAUACCGCAUAACGUCUCAAGACCAAAGAGGGGGACCUUAUGGCCUCUUGCCAUCGGAUAUGCCCAGAUGGGAUUAGCUAGUAGGUGGGGUAACGGCUCACCUAGGCGACGAUCCCUAGCUGGUCUGAGAGGAUGACCAGCCACACUGGAACUGAGACACGGUCCAGACUCCUACGGGAGGCAGCAGUGGGGAAUAUUGCACAAUGGGCGAAAGCCUGAUGCAGCAAUGCCGCGUGUAUGAAGAAGGCCUUCGGGUUGUAAAGUACUUUCAGCGGGGAGGAAGGGAGUAAAGUUAAUACCUUUGCUCAUUGACGUUACCCGCAGAAGAAGCACCGGCUAACUACGUG